AGUGAACGCUGGCGGCAGGCCUAACACAUGCAAGUCGAGCGGCAGCACGGCAAUAGCAAUAUUGUGGGUGGCGAGCGGCGGACGGGUGAGGAAUGCAUCGGGAUCUACCCUGUCGUGGGGGACAACGUAGGGAAACUUACGCUAAUACCGCAUGAUCUGGAGACAGCAAAGCCGGGGACCUUCGGGCCUGGCGCGAUGGGAUGAGCCGAUGUCCGAUUAGCUAGUUGGCGGGGUAAAGGCCCACCAAGGCGACGAUCGGUAGCUGGUCUGAGAGGACGACCAGCCACACUGGAACUGAGACACGGUCCAGACUCCUACGGGAGGCAGCAGUGGGGAAUAUUGGACAAUGGGGGCAACCCUGAUCCAGCCAUGCCGCGUGGGUGAAGAAGGCCUCGGUUGUAAGACCUUUGUUGCGGGAAGAAAGUACGUCGGUGUAACAUCCGGCGAUGCUGACGGUACCGCAAGAAUAAGACACGGCUAACUCGUGCCAGC
rnacentral:rRNA from 1 species